CUACUGUAGAAAAUUUCUGGGUACAUGGAUACAUGUAUUUAUAAUCCUUUUGCUAAAUCAUUUUUUUCGAUACCAAUUUGGAUUUAUUUUUGCUUGUUUGUCAUAAAAAUGAUGCUUUUGUUAAUUCUUGCACGUCCCUAUUGGGGCGCGGCCCAGAGUUUGGAAAAUACUGGUUUACAGCAUUAUACAAGCAUCUGCUCACAAGAGUAUAUUGAAUGUAUACAGAUCAAUUUUUCUUCGCAGUAGUCAAUUUCUUGAGACAUAAACAGAUGUCAUCUUAAUGUUACUGUUGAAUUUUCAGCAUCAGUGAUUUGAAUAAUUUCGCAAAGUUUACAACUUUGUAAACAGUCCAAAAUAAUGUGAAGAUUUUAUACGUUAGUUUUUUUUAUUCUUUUAAUAAUG
rnacentral:lncRNA from 1 species